rnacentral:rRNA from 1 species
AUACGGAGGGUGCAAGCGUUAAUCGGAAUUACUGGGCGUAAAGCGUACGUAAGCGGUUCGUUAAGUUAGAUGUGAAAGCCCCGGGCUUAACCUGGGAACUGCAUUUAAAACUGGCGGACUAGAGUUGAGUAGAGGGGAGUGGAAUUUCAGGUGUAGCGGUGAAAUGCGUAGAGAUCUGAAGGAACACCAGUGGCGAAGGCGACUCCCUGGACUCGAACUGACGCUGAGGUACGAAAGCGUGGGUAGCAAACGGGAUUAGAAACCCUUGUAGUCC